rnacentral:piRNA from 1 species
UGAAGACUUUUCCAUAGCUGAAAUUCCUGGA